rnacentral:rRNA from 1 species
CUGCUGCCUUCCGUAGGAGUUUGGACCGUGUCUCAGUUCCAAUGUGGGGGACCUUCCUCUCAGAACCCCUGCGCAUCGUCGGCUUGGUGGGCCGUUGCCCCACCAACUACCUAAUGCGCCGCAUGCCCAUCCGUGACCGGGGUCGCCCCCUUUGACCGGCAGGGGAUGUCCCCUCCCGGCAUUAUGUUGUAUUAGGCGGGAUUUCUCCCGGUUAUCCAUCUGUCACGGCCAGGUUGCAUACGUGUUACUCACCCGUGCGCCGGUCGCCGG